rnacentral:rRNA from 1 species
UACGGGGGGAGCAAGCGUUGUUCGGAUUUACUGGGCGUAAAGGGCGCGUAGGCGGCCUCCGCAAGUCAGUUGUGAAAUCUCCGAGCUUAACUCGGAAAGGUCAACUGAUACUGCGGGGCUAGAGUGCGGAAGGGGCAACUGGAAUUCUUGGUGUAGCGGUGAAAUGCGUAGAUAUCAGGAGGAACACCGGUGGCGAAGGCGGGUCUCUGGGCCGAUACUGACGCUGAGGAGCGAAAGCGUGGGGAGCAAACAGG